rnacentral:rRNA from 1 species
GUAUCCUGUCUGAAUAUGGGGGGACCAUCCUCCAAGGCUAAAUACUCCUGACUGACCGAUAGUGAACCAGUACCGUGAGGGAAAGGCGAAAAGAACCCCGGCGAGGGGAGUGAAAAAGAACCUGAAACCGUGUACGUACAAGCAGUGGGAGCACGCUUAGGCGUGUGACUGCGUACCUUUUGUAUAAUGGGUCAGCGACUUAUAUUCUGUAGCAAGGUUAACCGAAUAGGGGAGCCGAAGGGAAACCGAGUCUUAACUGGGCGUUAAGUUGCAGGGUAUAGACCCGAAACCCGGUGAUCUAGCCAUGGGCAGGUUGAAGGUUGGGUAACACUAACUGGAGGACCGAACCGACUAAUGUUGAAAAAUUAGCGGAUGACUUGUGGCUGGGGGUGAAAGGCCAAUCAAACCGGGAGAUAGCUGGUUCUCCCCGAAAGCUAUUUAGGUAGCGCCUCGUGAAUUCAUCUCCGGGGGUAGAGCACUGUUUCGGCAAGGGGGUCAUCCCGACUUACCAACCCGAUGCAAACUGCGAAUACCGGAGAAUGUUAUCACGGGAGACACACGGCGGGUGCUAACGUCCGUCGUGAAGAGGGAAACAACCCAGACCGCCAGCUAAGGUCCCAAAGUCAUGGUUAAGUGGGAAACGAUGUGGGAAGGCCCAGACAGCCAGGAUGUUGGCUUAGAAGCAGCCAUCAUUUAAAGAAAGCGUAAUAGCUCACUGGUCGAGUCGGCCUGCGCGGAAGAUGUAACGGGGCUAAACCAUGCACCGAAGCUGCGGCAGCGACACUAUGUGUUGUUGGGUAGGGGAGCGUUCUGUAAGCCUGUGAAGGUGUACUGUGAGGUAUGCUGGAGGUAUCAGAAGUGCGAAUGCUGACAUAAGUAACGAUAAAGCGGGUGAAAAGCCCGCUCGCCGGAAGACCAAGGGUUCCUGUCCAACGUUAAUCGGGGCAGGGUGAGUCGACCCCUAAGGCGAGGCCGAAAGGCGUAGUCGAUGGGAAACAGGUUAAUAUUCCUGUACUUGGUGUUACUGCGAAGGGGGGACGGAGAAGGCUAUGUUGGCCGGGCGACGGUUGUCCCGGUUUAAGCGUGUAGGCUGGUUUUCCAGGCAAAUCCGGAAAAUCAAGGCUGAGGCGUGAUGACGAGGCACUACGGUGCUGAAGCAACAAAUGCCCUGCUUCCAGGAAAAGCCUCUAAGCAUCAGGUAACAUCAAAUCGUACCCCAAACCGACACAGGUGGUCAGGUAGAGAAUACCAAGGCGCUUGAGAGAACUCGGGUGAAGGAACUAGGCAAAAUGGUGCCGUAACUUCGGGAGAAGG